UGAGGAAUAUUGAGCAAUGGGCGCAAGCCUGACUCAGCAACGCCGCGUGGAUGAUGAAGGCCUUCGGGUUGUAAAAUCCUUUUCUGGGGGACGAUAAUGACGGUACCUCAGGAAUAAGUUCCGGCUAACUACGUGCCAGCAGCCGCGGUAAAACGUAGGGAACAAGCGUUAUCCGGAUUUACUGGGCGUAAAGCGCGCGCAGGCGGCAUGGAAAGUUGGACGUGAAAACUCCUGGCUUAACUGGGAGAGGUCGUACAAAACUACCAAGCUAGAGGUUGGAAGAGGAGAGUGGAAUUCCCGGUGUAGUGGUGGAAUGCGUAGAUAUCGGGAGGAACACCAGUGGUGAAAACGGCUCUCUGGUCCAAUACUGACGCUGAGGUGCGAAAGCGUGGGGAGCGAACGGG
rnacentral:rRNA from 1 species